CCUGAAGAGACCCUUCCAGUGAGGUACCAGGGAUGGAGCAGACACCGAUAAGUACUAACAGAGACCCAGAGGCUCCGCAUCUCCUUGCCUUCUGCCACAGCACCAUGCAGUUUACACGUGGGACUUCCUCAGUCCCAGUCACACGACCGGUCUCCGCUCCACAGCCUGUUUUCUGAACUCUGUCAACAAUGGGCCUUUCUACAGAUGCUCCGGGUUUACUGUCAGUAAUGAAUGUAGGACAAACUAUCUGGCAAGCUAAUCCUCACCACAUUGGAGAUAUUGACUUGUCUGACACUCGCAGCAUCCAGUGAGGUUGUGAGAUAAGAACACUUAUAGAUAAGCAACGUGUGACGUGGAUUAAGUAACUGGUUCAGGGUUUUUCCACUAACAGUUGGCGGAAGCAGUUGACUCCCGAGUUGCUCGAGCACUACUCCUAGAAUCAGGCUUUGCCUGGCUCUCUGCUUCUUUCCACUCUCGGCUGCUUCUCCUUCACAAAGACUUUCCUUUCUCAAUACUAGCAAGCAAGUCCUCCCCCC
rnacentral:lncRNA from 1 species